rnacentral:lncRNA from 1 species
UGUUUGCAAGUUCUGUCCUGUUGGCAAGGCUGUUGUGAAGCCAAACCCAGAAGAAUAUAGCAGAUGACUCUGCUCCAUACAGGGAGCAAGGAUUAGGGCAGGGAUAGCGUUUGGCUCACACACACAGUCACUGCAAAACAAUUAUUGACUUAAAAUCCCUUUACUGAUGUCCCAACUUUCAUUUGAUGAUGUUAAAAGGUCAGAAUGAAAAUUAAAGCUUUUUUUUCCCUAAUCCCUUUAAGUGCUAAAUUCAUGGAAAGCAAUUAAAUCGACAAUUUAGUUUCAGAUGAUGGAGAAACUCUGCUCCUCAAAGGAUGCCUGGAUGAAAUGUGGUUUGUGAGAAUGGGAUUGGCCUCCUGUUACAAAGAUCCUCCUUGGUAAGUGAAUACUCCAGGACAGCCAUACUCAUUGCAGUGCUCAGCCCUGCAACAUGUCCAUAGAUCACAAUGAAAGACUUUGAGCAGCAGCAAUAAAUACAGGGGAAAAUAAAGAUUUAUGUCAGACUGGUCUAAUUAAUUUUUUUCCUGAAAAAAAGUCAAUAAAUCAUUACUGCUACUAGUGAACAGUAUUUAUCAAGUUGAUGCUGCUCUUUAUAGUCCUUGGUAGGUAUGAAAUUUUUUUUCUUAAUUUUCUUUAUUAAAUUUUUCUUCUCCUUGUGUAGCCAAACUUUCUCUGGAUCAUCAGAGUGCAGAGUGAGGAUGCAAUGAUGGAGAGGAGGGAUGUCCUCUCUCCAUGGACAGGAGCACAGCGAGUACAACCAUGGUGGCAGAAUUAAAGAAAAUGAGCUUUCCAGAGAAUCCUGGCUGGAGAAUCUUUCCAGAGAAUCAUAUCAUGCUGGAGGUGCGUGAAUCCUCUCUGUGCCCACCAGGAGCUGCUGCUUUGCUAUCAUUCACCUUCUGCAGAUCAGCUGUGCCUGUGGAGGUGCCUCCAGCCUUCCUGCUAUGCAUGCUCUCUUCCCCGGAGCUGUAACAAGGAGACUGUGCAAUGAAGCAAAAGCCCAGGAAAACCAGUGCUGAGGGCUGUUUGCGACAUCUCCUGUGAUGUGAGCUGCCAGCCCCAGAGAGAUAAAUGGAGCUUCUCUUUUCCACCCUCUGCCUGCCCUGGUGAGGCCCUGCUCAGAAAUGGUGAGCGUUCUUGGGAGGUAAG